ACAGCAGCCGCCACGGUAAUACGUAGGGGGCAAGCGUUAUCCGGAAUUACUGGGUGUAAAGGGAGUGUAGACGGUUAAACAAGUCUGAAGUGAAAUGCCGGGGCUCAACCCCGGAGCUGCUUUGGGAACUGUAGAACUGGAGUGUCGGAGGGGUAAGCGGAAUUCCCAGUGUAGCGGUGAAAUGCGUAGAUAUUGGGAGGAACACCGGCGGCGAAGGCGGCUUACUGGACGACAACUGACGUUGAGGCUCGAAGGCGUGGGUAGCAAACAGGAUUAGAUACCCCCGUAGUCCCUGUCUCUUAUAC
rnacentral:rRNA from 1 species